rnacentral:rRNA from 1 species
AUUGAACGCUGGCGGCAGGCUUAACACAUGCAAGUCGAACGAGUGGCGGACGGGUGAGUAAUGCUUGGGAAUCUAGCUUAUGGAGGGGGAUAACUACGGGAAACUGUAGCUAAUACCGCGUACCAUAGGAUGAGCCCAAGUGGGAUUAGGUAGUUGGUGAGGUAAAGGCUCACCAAGCCGACGAUCUCUAGCUGGUCUGAGAGGAUGACCAGCCACACGGGGACGGAGCAACGCCCCAGACCCCGACGGGAGGAAGCAGUGGGGAAUAUUGCGCAAUGGGGGCAACCUGACGCAGCCAUGCGGCGUGAAUGAAGAAGGCCUUCGGGUUGUAAAGUACUUUCAGUCGGGAGGCGUUACCGAAAGAAGAAGCACCGGCUAACUCCGUGCCAGCAGCCGCGGUAAUAC